UCGGGUAUGGUAGCGGUAACAUCCAUGACUCUCACUCAUCAGCCCGGGGUUCGACUCCCCGUAUCCGAG
rnacentral:tRNA from 1 species